GCUGGCGGCAGGCCUAACACAUGCAGUCGAGCGGAUGAAGGGAGCUUGCUCCUGGAUUCAGCGGCGGACGGGUGAGUAAUGCCUAGGAAUCUGCCUGGUAGUGGGGGAUAACGUCCGGAAACGGGCGCUAAUACCGCAUACGUCCUGAGGGAGAAAGUGGGGGAUCUUCGGACCUCACGCUAUCAGAUGAGCCUAGGUCGGAUUAGCUAGUUGGUGGGGUAAAGGCCUACCAAGGCGACGAUCCGUAACUGGUCUGAGAGGAUGAUCAGUCACACUGGAACUGAGACACGGUCCAGACUCCUACGGGAGGCAGCAGUGGGGAAUAUUGGACAAUGGGCGAAAGCCUGAUCCAGCCAUGCCGCGUGUGUGAAGAAGGUCUUCGGAUUGUAAAGCACUUUAAGUUGGGAGGAAGGGCAGUAAGUUAAUACCUUGCUGUUUUGACGUUACCCAACAGAAAUAAAGCACCGGGCUAAACCUUCGUGGCCA
rnacentral:rRNA from 1 species